rnacentral:rRNA from 1 species
AUUGAACACUGGCGGCAGGCCUAACACAUGCAAGUCGAGCGGAUGAAGGGAGCUUGCUCCUGGAUUCAGCGGCGGACGGGUGAGUAUUGCCCAGGAAUCUGCCUGGUAGUGGGGGAUAACGUCCGGAAACGGGCGCUAAUACCGCAUACGUCCUGAGGGAGAAAGUGGGGGAUCUUCGGACCUCACGCUAUCAGAUGAGCCUAGGUCGGAUUAGCUAGUUGGUGGGGUAAAGGCCUACCAAGGCGACGAUCCGUAACUGGUCUGAGAGGAUGAUCAGUCACACUGGAACUGAGACACGGUCCAGACUCCUACGGGAGGCAGCAGUGGGGAAUAUUGGACAAUGGGCGAAAGCCUGAUCCAGCCAUGCCGCGUGUGUGAAGAAGGUCUUCGGAUUGUAAAGCACUUUAAGUUGGGAGGAAGGGCAGUAAGUUAAUACCUUGCUGUUUUGACGUUACCAACAGAAUAAGCACCGGCUAACUUCGUG